GGCGUAAGCGCGCGCAGGCGGUUUCUUAAGUCUGAUGUGAAAGCCCCCGGCUCAACCGGGGAGGGUCAUUGGAAACUGGGGAACUUGAGUGCAGAAGAGGAGAGUGGAAUUCCACGUGUAGCGGUGAAAUGCGUAGAGAUGUGGAGGAACACCAGUGGCGAAGGCGACUCUCUGGUCUGUAACUGACGCUGAGGCGCGAAAGCGUGGGGAGCGAACAGGAUUAGAUACCCUGGUAGUCCACGCCGUAAACGAUGAGUGCUAAGUGUUAGAGGGUUUCCGCCCUUUAGUGCUGCAGCAAACGCAUUAAGCACUCCGCCUGGGGAGUACGGUCGCAAGACUGAAACUCAAAGGAAUUGACGGGGGCCCGCACAAGCGGUGGAGCAUGUGGUUUAAUUCGAAGCAACGCGAAGAACCUUACCAGGUCUUGACAUCCUCUGACAACCCUAGAGAUAGGGCUUCCCCUUCGGGGGCAGAGUGACAGGUGGUGCAUGGUUGUCGUCAGCUCGUGUCGUGAGAUGUUGGGUUAAGUCCCGCAACGAGCGCAACCCUUGAUCUUAGUUGCCAGCAUUCAGUUGGGCACUCUAAGGUGACUGCCGGUGACAAACCGGAGGAAGGUGGGGAUGACGUCAAAUCAUCAUGCCCCUUUAUGACCUGGCUACACACGUGCUACAAUG
rnacentral:rRNA from 1 species